GACGAACGCUGGCGGCGCGCCUAACACAUGCAAGUCGAACGGAGCUGAGAGAAGCUUGCUUUUCUUAGCUUAGUGGCGAACGGGUGAGUAACGCGUGAGUAACCUGCCCUGGAGUGGGGGACAACAGUUGGAAACGACUGCUAAUACCGCAUAAGCCCACGGAUCCGCAUGGAUCUGCGGGAAAAGGNUUUAUUCGCUUCAGGAUGGACUCGCGUCCAAUUAGCUAGUUGGUGAGGUAACGGCCCACCAAGGCGACGAUUGGUAGCCGGACUGAGAGGUUGAACGGCCACAUUGGGACUGAGACACGGCCCAGACUCCUACGGGAGGCAGCAGUGGGGGAUAUUGCACAAUGGGGGAAACCCUGAUGCAGCGACGCCGCGUGGAGGAAGAAGGUUUUCGGAUUGUAAACUCCUGUCGUUAGGGACGAUAAUGACGGUACCUAACAAGAAAGCACCGGCUAACUACGUG
rnacentral:rRNA from 1 species